AUCUCCUUCCUGAUAUUAUGUUGGUGGGGUUUUCUCCAUUUAAUUGGGAAACGGUCAAGGAUAUUCUGAGGGGUUUCUAGGAAGGAUUUGAGGUUAAUUUCCUGAUAAAGUUAUUCAAUCGAUUUCUACUCCAGUUAUAGAUCUCUUGAAGAGGAUGCUUCGCAAGUGCUAAGUAAGUGAUCUGCUCUUGUUUCUAUUACUUUAAAAUUACCUGGUUUAUGCAAUUUACAUGUUGUUUGCUCUUUCGAAGGAUUCUAGUCUUGCUUUUUGUAACAAAAGUUAUUAAGUUUAUUAAUUUUGUUCAGUUAUAUUUUGGGUCUGGAUACUAAUUAAUGAUACUGUGUUGUUUUAUAUGGUUUUUACAGGACAUCCAUGGUGUUUAAUGUCUAGCAAGAUGCACGUAGUUAAAGAGGGUG
rnacentral:lncRNA from 1 species